rnacentral:rRNA from 1 species
UACGGGGGGAGCAAGCGUUGUUCGGAUUUACUGGGCGUAAAGGGCGCGUAGGCGGCCACCGCAAGUCAGUUGUGAAAUCUCUGGGCUUAACCCAGAAAGGUCAACUGAUACUGCGGGGCUAGAGUGCAGAAGGGGCAACUGGAAUUCUCGGUGUAGCGGUGAAAUGCGUAGAUAUCGAGAGGAACACCUGCGGCGAAGGCGGGUUGCUGGGCUGAUACUGACGCUGAGGCGCGAAGCCAGGGAGCGAACGGGA